rnacentral:rRNA from 1 species
AUUGACUAAGGUUUCCAGAGGAAGGCUCGUCCGCUCUGGGUUAGUCGGGUCCUAAGCUGAGGCCGACAGGCGUAGGCGAUGGAUAACAGGUUGAUAUUCCUGUACCACCUAUAAUCGUUUUAAUCGAUGGGGGGACGCAGUAGGAUAGGCGAAGCGUGCGAUUGGAUUGCACGUCUAAGCAGUAAGGCUGAGUAUUAGGCAAAUCCGGUACUCGUUAAGGCUGAGCUGUGAUGGGGAGAAGACAUUGUGUCUUCGAGUCGUUGAUUUCACACUGCCGAGAAAAGCCUCUAGAUAGAAAAUAGGUGCCCGUACCGCAAACCGACACAGGUAGUCAAGAUGAGAAUUCUAAGGUGAGCGAGCGAACUCUCGUUAAGGAACUCGGCAAAAUGACCCCGUAACUUCGGGAGAAGGGGUGCUCUUUAGGGUUAACGCCCAGAAGAGCCGCAGUGAAUAGGCCCAAGCGACUGUUUAUCAAAAACACAGGUCUCUGCUAAACCGUAAGGUGAUGUAUAGGGGCUGACGCCUGCCCGGUGCUGGAAGGUUAAGAGGAGUGGUUAGCUUCUGCGAAGCUACGAAUCGAAGCCCCAGUAAACGGCGGCCGUAACUAUAACGGUCCUAAGGUAGCGAAAUUCCUUGUCGGGUAAGUUCCGACCCGCACGAAAGGCGUAACGAUUUGGGCACUGUCUCAACGAGAGACUCGGUGAAAUCAUA